rnacentral:rRNA from 1 species
GAUGAACGCUGACAGAAUGCUUAACACAUCAGCAAUUGAUUGGUGGCGGACGGGUGAGUAACGCGUCAAUACCUUGCCUCCCAGCUAGGAACAACAUUUAGAAAUGAAUGCUUAUACAUGAUACUGUGAGAGAGCUUUGCGUCCCAUUCGCUAGUGGGAGAGGUCACAGCUCACCAAGGCGAUGAUGGGUAGCCGGCCUGAGAGGGUAAACGGCCACAAGGGGACGGAGACACGGCACUUACUCCUACGGGAGGUAGCAGUUGGGAACAUAGGAAAAUGGACCGAAGUCUGAUGCAGUAAUUCGGUGUGUACGAUGAAGUUUUCGGAAUGUAAAGGGCGUUCAGUUGGGAAGCGGUACCAACAGAAGAAGUGACGGCUAACUCCGUGCCAGCAGCCGCGGUAAUUC